rnacentral:rRNA from 1 species
AGCAGCCGCGGUAAUUCCAGCUCCAAUAGCGUAUAUUAAAGUUGUUGCAGUUAAAAAGCUCGUAGUUGAAUUUCGGGAUUUGUCAGUUGGUCGGGCUUCACUGUCCGUAUUGACUUGAUGGAUUCUUACCUUCUGAAUAACCAGCAUGCUAUUAAGUUAGUGCGUUGGGGAAGCAGAUCUAUUACCUUGAAAAAAUUAGAGUGCUUAAAGCGAGCUAGUGCUUGAAUAGAUUAGCAUGGAAUAAUAAAAUAGGACGGCAUGGUUCUAUUUUGUUGGUUUCUAGGAUCACCGUAAUGAUUAAUAGGGAUAGUUGGGGGCAUUAGUAUUCAAUUGUCAGAGGUGAAAUUCUUGGAUUUAUUGAAGACUAACUUCUGCGAAAGCAUUUGCCAAGGAUGUUUUCAUUAAUCAAGAACGAAAGUUAGGGGAUCGAAGACGAUCAGAUACCGUCGUAGCCUUAACCAUAAACUAUGCCGACUAGGAAUCGGACGAUGUUAAUUUUAUAAUGACUCGUUCGGCACCU